rnacentral:rRNA from 1 species
GUGCAGGUGGUUGGGUAAGUCGGGCAUGAAACCUCUUGGCUUAACUGAGAGAAGCUGCUCGAUACUGCUUGACUUGAGGACAUAAGAGGGAGAUGGAAUUCCGCAUGUAGUGGUGAAAUGCGUAGAUAUGCGGAGGAACACCAGUGGCGAAGGCGGUCUCCUGGUAUGUACCUGACACUCAGACGCGAAGGCUAGGGGAGCGAACGGGAUUAGAAACCCCGGUAGUCCUAGCAGUAAACGAUGAUUACUAGGUGUUAGUGGUAACCAAACCACUAGUGCCGAAGCUAACGCGAUAAGUAAUCCGCCUGGGGACUACGAUCGCAAGAUUAAAACUCAAAGGAAUUGACGGGGACCCGCACAAGCAGCGGAGCGUGUGGUUUAAUUCGAGGCUACGCGAAGAACCUUACCCAGGUUUGACAUGUAGGUAGUAGUGAAGCGAAAGCGGAACGACCCUUCGGGGAGCCUAUACAGGUGAUGCAUGGCUGUCGUCAGCUCGUGCCGUGAGGUGUUUGGUUAAGUCCACUAACGAGCGCAACCCUCGGGGCCAGUUACAAGUGUCUGGCGCGACUGCCGGUCUUAAGCCGGAGGAAGGUGGGGAUGACGUCAAGUCAGCAUGUCCUUUAUAUCUGGGGCUACACACACGCUACAAUGGGUAAUACAAUGGGUUGCCAAGCCGCGAGGCGGAGCCAAUCCUCCAAAAUUACCCUCAGUUCAGAUCGCAGGCUGCAACUCGCCUGCGUGAAGUCGGAGUUGCUAG